GAUGAACGCUGGCGGCGUGCCUAACACAUGCAAGUCGAGCGAAGCGCCUUACUUGAUUUCUUCGGGAUGAAAGUAUUGUGACUGAGCGGGCGACGGGUGAGUAACGCGUGGAUAACCUGCCUCGGAGUGGGGAAUAACAGUUGGAAACAGCUGCUAAUACCGCAUAAUGCAACGAAAUCGCAUGACUUUGUUGCCAAAGAUUUAUCGCUCUGAGAUGGCCUCGCGUCUGAUUAGCUAGUUGGCGGGGUAACGGCCCACCAAGGCGACGAUCAGUAGCCGGACUGAGAGGUUGGCCGGCCACAUUGGGACUGAGACACGGCCCAG
rnacentral:rRNA from 1 species